AGAGUUUGAUCAUGGCUCAGAUUGAACGCUGGCGGCAGGCCUAACACAUGCAAGUCGAGCGGUAACAGGGGAAGCUUGCUUCUCGCUGACGAGCGGCGGACGGGUGAGUAAUGUAUGGGGAUCUGCCUGAUGGCGGGGGAUAACUACUGGAAACGGUAGCUAAUACCGCAUAAUGUCUACGGACCAAAGCGGGGGACCUCCGGGCCUCGCGCCAUCAGAUGAACCCAUAUGGGAUUAGCUUGUAGGUAAGGUAACGGCUUACCUAGGCGACGAUCCCUAGCUGGUCUGAGAGGAUGACCAGCCACACUGGAACUGAGACACGGUCCAGACUCCUACGGGAGGCAGCAGUGGGGAAUAUUGCACAAUGGGCGCAAGCCUGAUGCAGCCAUGCCGCGUGUAUGAAGAAGGCCUUCGGGUUGUAAAGUACUUUCAGCGGGGAGGAAGGCGUUGUGGUUAAUAACCGCAGCGAUUGACGUUACUCGCAGAAGAAGCACCGGCUAACUCCGUGCCAGCAGCCGCGGUAAUUC
rnacentral:rRNA from 1 species